rnacentral:lncRNA from 1 species
ACACUUCUUAGCCUUAUCAAAACGAGUGAACUUCUCACCAACAGACUUCAAAUAAUCUUUAGUACUCUCACUUCCAGGUAUGCUUGUCUAGUGAAUUUUUCCAUAAUGUAAGAUAUCACCUUAAGACACACUCUAUUAGAGUGUUCCCACUUUUCAUAAAGAGUCCUCUGAGCUUCAAUAGACGCGUUAGUAAUAUCUCCAGGUUUUUCAAUUCUUAGAGCCAAGUCAAGGUUGGUUAUAACCAAAUAAAGGUU